CACGUAGGGCGCGAGCGUUGUCCGGAAUUAUUGGGCGUAAAGAGCUCGUAGGCGGCCUGUUGCGUCCGCUGUGAAAGCCCGGGGCUUAACCCCGGGUCGGCAGUGGAUACGGGCAGGCUAGAGGUAGGUAGGGGAGAAUGGAAUUCCUGGUGUAGCGGUGGAAUGCGCAGAUAUCAGGAGGAACACCGGUGGCGAAGGCGGAUCUCUGGGCCAUUACUGACGCUGAGGAGCGAAAGCGUGGGGAGCGAACAGG
rnacentral:rRNA from 1 species